rnacentral:rRNA from 1 species
GAUGAACGCUGGCGGCGUGCUUAACACAUGCAAGUCAAACGGAAAGGCGCUGCUUUUGUGGGGUUCUCGAGUGGCGAACGGGUGUGUAACACGUGAGUAACCUGCCCUUGACUUUGUGAUAACUUUAGGAAACUGGGGCUAAUACCGCAUAGGAGCUCCUGCUGCAUGGUGUGGGUUGGAAAGUUUCGGCGGUAGGGGAUCUACUCGCUGCUUAUCGGCUUGUUGGUGGGGUAGUGGCUGACCAAGGCUUUGACGGGUAGCCGGCCUGAGAGGGUGACCGGCGACAUUGGGACUGAGGGACGGCACAGGCUGCGACGGGAGGGAGCAGGGGGAAAUCUUGCACAAUGGGCGGAAGGCUGAUGAAGCAGCGCCGCGUGCGGGAAGACGGCCUUAGGGGGGUAAACCGCAUGCGCAUGUGACGAAGCGUGAGUGACGGUAAUGGAUAAAGAAGCACCGGCUAACUACGUG